rnacentral:tRNA from 1 species
GGAAAGAUGGCUGAGCGGCCUAUAGCGUUUGUCUUGAAAACUAUAGCCACUAAUGUGGCCCGUGGGUUCGAAUCCCGCUCUUUCUA